rnacentral:rRNA from 1 species
AUUGAACGCUGGCGGCAGGCCUAACACAUGCAAGUCGAGCGGAGCGGCGGACGGGUGAGUAAUGCCUAGGAAUCUGCCUGGUAGUGGGGGAUAACGUCCGGAAUCGGGCGCUAAUACCGCAUACUAUAAGAUGAGACUAGGUCGGAUUAGCUAGUUGGUGGGGUAUAGGCCUACAAAAGCGACGAUCCGUACCUGGUCUGAGAGGAUGAUCGGUCACACUGAAACUGAGACACGGUCCAGUCUCCUACGGGAGGCAGCAAUGAGGAAUAUUGGACAAUGGGCGAAAGCCUGGUACAGCCAUGCCGCGUGUGUGAAGAAGGUCUUCGGAUUGUAAAGCAAUUUAAGUUGGGAGGCGUUACCAACAGAAUAAGCACCGGCUAACUUCGUGCCAGCCGCCGCGGUAAUAC